rnacentral:rRNA from 1 species
GUGGGGGAUAUUGGUCAAUGGGGGAAACCCUGAACCAGCAACGCCGCGUGAGGGAAGACGGCCUUCGGGUUGUAAACCUAAGUGAUCAGGGACGAAGGAAGUGACGGUACCUGAAAAGCAAGCUCCGGCUAACUACGUGCCAGCAGCCGCGGUAAUACGUAGGGAGCGAGCGUUGUCCGGAUUUACUGGGUGUAAAGGGUGCGUAGGCGGGAAAGCAAGUCAGGUGUGAAAUACCGGGGCUCAACUCCGGGGCUGCGCUUGAAACUGUUUUUCUUGAGUGAAGUAGAGGCAGGCGGAAUUCCUAGUGUAGCGGUGGAAUGCGUAGAUAUUAGGAGGAACACCAGUGGCGAAGGCGGCCUGCUGGGCUUUAACUGACGCUGAGGCACGAAAGCAUGGGGAGCAAACAGGAUUAGAUACCCUGGUAGUCC